UCUGACCAGCAUGAAGAUCACAGAGAAGAGUUAGAUAACAUGUUACAAAGUUUUGCUAAGCAAAAAAAGAAAAAUCAAGGGUGAAAGUGAUAAUAAUAAAUCCAACUAUGUUCUAGAAGAUAAAAGAUUCCGGAAUCUGCUGGAAGAUUGCUGGAAGAACUUGGUGGGUUAAGCAGCACUGGUGGAAGCAAAAGAAGUGACAAUGAGACUAGAAAGCAAGAAGACGAAGAGAACGAUACAUUGUCCUAUUACUUAACGUCACACGCUGGGAAUUUGACUCUUGUCGUAAUUUUGAUGACAGCUGAAAUGGGAGAUCCACUUCUUCCCUGCUUGGCGCUGUCAGUGACAAGCAUGGUGAAAGGUUUCACCAGGACAUUGUGGCCGUGGAGAAACUGUAUCAGAGCAACUGGAAUCCAUCAAUGCUGGCUGAUUAUUGUUGGAUACUUAAGCAAGAAGCCUCAGACACUGAGUACAAAUGAAAAUCAUCAACAAAACAUUUUUAGUUUUGUUGAACUAUUGCAAAGCGUCAGCAUUAUAUUCAAUAAAGGUUAAUUUCCUGUUUCUCCAAAUUCCUAUGUGAUACAAGUAGUCUGAAAUAAUAUUUGUGUUCAGCUUCAAGCCGUCUGUCACAAACAAAAGAAAAACAUUCUGAGGAAGCAAUACUUUCGAAAAAAUUUGUUGUCUAGCAUAAAUAUUCCAGAUCCCGGCGGUGUGUAUCCUGAAACUCCUGGUGGCAGCAGCAAGAAGCAAGUUUACUCUAAGGGGAGGAGAAUAUUUUAUUUCUUACAUCGUGGUCUUACAAAUUAAUGCUUUUGAAAUGUGGUGCUAUUGACGAAUGUUGAAGAUCAGCUCGGUAGAGAAAGUUUCAAAUGAGAGGGUUUUGUCCGAAGUUGAUAGACCACGGAUAUUGCUGGAGAAGAUUAUGAAGUUAAAAGUUGCUUAUUGUGCACACGUUAUGUGGAGAGGUAACAUCUUGUCGGACUUGCUAUAUGGAAAGGUAGAGGGAAAGAAAGAAAGAGGAAGACAAAGAACAACAUGGCUGGAUAACAUCAAGGAUUGGACCAAGCUGGACAAAACUAGGGAUGUUGUGGACAAGUGUCAGGACAUAGCAGCACGGAGGGAAAUCGUCCGCCAACUGGAAAUUCCAGACGCGACCUAACGACAACGACGGUCUUACCAUAGUUGAUCUUUGGCAGGGGGCUUUUGUCAUGUUUAACAUUGUUUUGCCAUUGAAGCAAAUACGAAUUUUGCAGUGCAAAUAAAUGAGAGGUAUUAUAAGCGAACAGUUACAUAACUUGGAGUUAUAUAACAUCUCACAUAAAUAAUUCUUUCAACUGAUAUUCCCUUACAUGACAACAGACUUUGCAUAAGAGAAGUGUGAAACAUUCUUAAUAGUCCUGCUUCAUGUUGUAUGAGCAUAUCAUAACAAUUGUUGUUGAAAAUAGAUUGCCCAAAGGAAAUAAUCUUUUCGA